rnacentral:rRNA from 1 species
UUCUGGCUCAGGAUGAACGCUGGCGGCGUGCCUAACACAUGCAAGUCGAACGGGAACUCUAAUCUGAAGGUUCGCUGGAUGAUUGGAAAUUCUAGUGGCGGACGGGUGAGUAACGCGUGGGUAACCUGCCCUUUAGAGGGAGAUAACAGAGAGAAAUUUCUGAUAAUAUCCCAUAUGCUUACAGCUUCGCAUGAAGCAGUGAGGAAAGAAUUUCGCUAAAGGAUGGACCCGCGUUAGAUUAGCCAGUUGGUGGGGUAACGGCCUACCAAAGCUACGAUCUAUAGCCGGACUGAGAGGUUGAACGGCCACAUUGGGACUGAGACACGGCCCAAACUCCUACGGGAGGCAGCAGUGGGGAAUAUUGCGCAAUGGGCGAAAGCCUGAACCGCAGCAACGCCGCGUGAGUGAAUGAAGUAUUUCGGUAUGUAAAGCUCUAUCGAUGGGGAAUAAAUUGAAGGUACCCAAGUAAGAAGCCCCGGCUAACUACGUGCCAGCCGCAGC